UUCUGCGAAAACAUUUUCUGAUGACUCAGAAGCCCUCACUCACACAAUUUAGCACUUGUUUUUCUUAUUUUGCUCUUCAUGGACUGUUAUUUUCUAUUUUCUUGCUGAGCAAAGAAACCCCACACAAUCAACAUAAAGAAAAACUAACUUUGAAACAACAUUCUUUUCAGGAUCUGUGAGAAGUGGAUGGGAAAUGAAAGUACGUGAAAUAUUCAAAUUUUCAUUUCUAAAUAAACGAACGCAACACGACAUGGGCUAUUUUCAGACUAUGAGGUCUCUUUCAUCAAAGUCAGCACUAGCUGUGAAGACCACCUGCUUCCAGUAAUUACCCUAAGGCUUUUCCUAAAUCAGCAUUCCGGAAGUAUUCCAGGGAACACUCGUUCUGCAAAAUGGCUCUUGAAAAGAAGAAGAAGAAGAAAGAAGGAGUUCUAUGGCCAAAUUAAUUUGGGAAAAACUGCAUACUAUGUCUCCCUCAUGAAUUUCAAUGAACAUUAACAUUGUAAAAACUGAAACAUCUUAGAAGAUAAAUAUUUAUUUGCAUUUAACCCAACAUUACACAAACUCAUUUGACUCUGCAAGAUUUUUAAUAAGUCAUCUCAUCUUCAGAAACAUUCCUUUGGCCAUUGCAGUAACCUUUUAACUAUUUUCUUCUUUAAGCAUCAUCCUUCUCCAAUCCACUCCAAACUACCACCAGGAUCAUCCAUCUAAAACAUUAAUCACACCUCACAACUCGUCUGCCUAAAAUAAUCCAGUGGCACCAGGCUAUAUACAAGAUAACAUCUGUACUCCUCAGUAGAGCACAGAAUUUUUAGUAAUUCUAUCUUCAGCUUCCUUGCCUUCACUUUUUUUGCCACGAACUAGUCCUUAAUCCACUCUCCCUCAGGGUACCUAACACUGUAGUAUCACCAAAUUACCUAAAAUCUUAAAAAUGUCCACUUACACCUGAUCCUUUCCCUUCUCUCCCCGACAGGCUAUUCCAUAUUUUUUCCAUAGUUCUUACGUAUGCUCCUUUUAAACACAUUUUCUCAAUCACUUUCUUUUAUGUCCAAGUAAGUUAGUUGUUCUUUGCCUUGUGUUUCCUCACCACUUUGUAAAUAUCUCUAGAAACAUGAAUCCCUCUGAAUUUAUUGCACCUAGGAAAUUGCAAGCCUGUAGACCUGUACUGUCUAAUACUGUAGGAUUAGCUACCAUGUGACUUUUGAGCACAUGAAAUGUAACUAGUUUAAACUGACAUGCUUUUAGCAUAAAAUACGCACUGAUUUCACAAGAAAAGAAACAAUAAACUU